UUGUCCCCUCUCUCUCUCUUACACAAACUCACAGACACUUUGCAAGCAUGAAGAUCACAGUAAAGGAAUCUACGAUGGUUAAGCCAAUGAAAGAAACGCCGACUGAAACUCUGUGGCUAUCCAACUUAGACUUGUUUUUCACCACCGACUACCAUAGCCGUUUGGUGAACUUCUACCGCAACGACGCCGGCGCCGCUGACUUCUUCGAUGCGGCGGCGAUGAAGGCGGCCCUCAGCAAGGCCCUGGUUGAGUUCUACCCGAUUGCGGGGAGGCUGGGAAGAGGCGACGAUGGCCACAUUGUGAUCAACUGCAACGGGGAAGGGGCGUUUUUCAUGGAAGCGAUGUGCGACGCCGAGAUGGAUGAGCUCGGUGGCUUCAGCCCCAGGCCCGACAUCAGCCUCGUCCCCGCCAUCGAUUACUCUAACGAUAUUUCUUCUUUCCCGCUUUUUCUUGUGCAGUUAACCCGGUUCAAAUGCGGUGGGGUGAGUUUGAGUUUCUCAAACGAGCAUCAUCUAUCAGACGGCAUGUCCUCUCACCAUUUCGUCAACACCUGGUCCGAAAUGGUCCGCGGCCUAAUCACCUCCGCCACCGUCCCCCCUUACCUGGACCGCCACGUUCUAGCCGCUAGAGACCCGCCACGGCCCGUGUUCCCCCACGUCGAGCACCACCCGCCUCCAACACUCAAACACCCUCUCAACGUCUCCGGUGAAACAGAGUUCUUAACAUUCCGGCUGUCCCCCGAUCAGAUCAACGCCAUCAAGAAGGAAUGCGAAGACGAGAAAAUUAAAUACUCCACCUUCCAGGUGCUCACAGGCAGGGGCGGACAGGCAGGGGCGGACACACGUUGACAGAGGGUAGGGCUGAAGCCCUUACCCAAUUUUUUUUAUUUUUUUCUACUUUCAAAUUUUUCAAAAUUUUUAAAAACUAUGUUAAGCUCUUACUAAAUAAUGCUAUUGAAGAACAAAUUAUUUUGGGUUGGAUAAUUGUAAGGGGGAUUAAAGAAAGAAAAAAUAAGAAUCUGUAGAGAAAACUGUAACAAUGGAGUUAGGAAGGAAGCAUAAGGAAGAAGAUGAGUUUAAUUGAAUUAAUUAAUAUAAAAGUAAGUCAAAUGGACCCCACUUCUUUGACUUGUUUUAUAAAAAGGAGAACGCAUUUUUUAAAAGUGCUACUAUCACCUUUUAAAGUGGGUACGUUUUUUUAAUUAAAAUUUAAGUAAAAGGUGUGUAAAUUUUAAGUGGCACCCAUUUAUAAGAUUUUAAAAAAUUAAAGAAGAGAAACAGAAGGGUUUUAUGAAGUUUACAUAGCUGCGCGCGGCGAUACAGAAACGGACAAUGAUGCUACUUUGUAAAAGGAGGGUGUGGGUCUUUGAAACUUUUGAGAAAUUAAUAUUCAAAUUCUACGCAAAUUGUGAGGUUGACCAUAGAGGAUGGAACACUUCUUUAAAAAAAAGCGUCGGGAUGAAUUAUCUUCUCCAACUGAACCCAUUGUUGAAGCAAUGGAAAAUCAGCCCCGAAGAGAAGUCGAGUUGAACUUGAAUGAUAUUGUUAGUGGUCCGGGAAAACGCAAGCCAAUUGAAGAGUUCGAUGUUUCAAUUCGUGAUAGAGUACGAAGAGAGUACUUGAAUAAGGGCCCUUGUCAACCAAUUGGACAUAAGUAUGAAAAAAAUAAAUAUGGUAUUCAAGAUAUUUGGUUUAAAAGGUAUACAUGGCUAGAGUAUAGUGUAUCAAAGGAUGCAACUUUUUGCUUUUGGUGCUAUCUUUUCAAGAAAUCAGAUAAAGGAGGUCGACAAUCAGAGCUUUUACAAAGAUAGUUUGAAGCAACUAGAAAAAUGGAUUAGAAAGAUUCAAUUAUCAUGUUGGAGGCGUGAAUAGAUGUCAUAAUUGUUGAGUUUUGAUCGAAGAUUGACAAGAACGAAACAAGAAACUAGAAACAAGACACGCAAUUUACGUGAUUCGGCAAUGUGCCUACGUCCACGGAAGGGAUGAGAUGUUUAUUACUUUCACUCUUUUGGUGUUUUACACAGACAUGGAAACAAGAAGAUGAAAUCUAUCUCGAGCUACUGCACUCUACAAUGGUGAACUCACAUCUCUCUCUUUUCUUCCUUCUCUACUCUCACUCUCUGUUUUUCGUAGUUAGUUACAAUGAG